rnacentral:rRNA from 1 species
GACGAACGCUGGCGGCGUGCUUAACACAUGCAAGUCGAACGGAAAGGCCCUUCGGGGUACACGAGUGGCGAACGGGUGAGUAACACGUGGGUGAUCUGCCCUGCACUUCGGGAUAAGCCUGGGAAACUGGGUCUAAUACCGGAUAGGACCACUGCCUGCAUGGGUGGUGGUGGAAAGCUUUUGCGGUGUGGGAUGGGCCCGCGGCCUAUCAGCUUGUUGGUGGGGUGAUGGCCUACCAAGGCGACGACGGGUAGCCGGCCUGAGAGGGUGACCGGCCACACUGGGACUGAGAUACGGCCCAGACUCCUACGGGAGGCAGCAGUGGGGAAUAUUGCACAAUGGGCGCAAGCCUGAUGCAGCGACGUCGCGUGAGGGAUGACGGCCUUCGGGUUGUAAACCUCUUUCAGCACCGACGAAGCGCAAGUGACGGUAGGUGCAGAAGAAGGACCGGCCAACUACGUGCCAGCCGCCGCGGUAA